rnacentral:rRNA from 1 species
ACAUAGGGGGCGAGCGUUGUUCGGAAUGACUGGGCGUAAAGGGCGCGUAGGCGGCCGGGUAAGUUGGGAGUGAAAUUCCUGCUUUUAAGGUGGGAACUGCUUUCAAAACUGCCUGGCUUGAGUGCGGAAGAGGUAAGUGGAAUUCCCAGUGUAGCGGUGAAAUGCGUAGAGAUUGGGAGGAACACCAGUGGCGAAGGCGACUUACUGGGCCGUAACUGACGCUGAUGCGCGAAAGCGUGGGGAGCAAACAG